rnacentral:rRNA from 1 species
GACGAACGCUGGCGGCGUGCUUAACACAUGCAAGUCGAACGGAAAGGCCCUGCUUUUGUGGGGUGCUCGAGUGGCGAACGGGUGAGUAACACGUGAGUAACCUGCCCUUGACUUUGGGAUAACUUCAGGAAACUGGGGCUAAUACCGGAUAGGAGCUCCUGCUGCAUGGUGGGGGUUGGAAAGUUUCGGCGGUUGGGGAUGGACUCGCGGCUUAUCAGCUUGUUGGUGGGGUAGUGGCUUACCAAGGCUUUGACGGGUAGCCGGCCUGAGAGGGUGACCGGCCACAUUGGGACUGAGAUACGGCCCAGACUCCUACGGGAGGCAGCAGUGGGGAAUAUUGCACAAUGGGCGGAAGCCUGAUGCAGCAACGCCGCGUGCGGGAUGACGGCCUUCGGGUUGUAAACCGCUUUCGCCUGUGACGAAGCGUGAGUGACGGUAAUGGGUAAAGAAGCACCGGCUAACUACGUGCCAGCAGCCGCGGUGAUACGUAGGGUGCGAGCGUUGUCCGGAUUUAUUGGGCGUAAAGGGCUCGUAGGUGGUUGAUCGCGUCGGAAGUGUAAUCUUGGGGCUUAACCCUGAGCGUGCUUUCGAUACGGGUUGACUUGAGGAAGGUAGGGGAGAAUGGAAUUCCUGGUGGAGCGGUGGAAUGCGCAGAUAUCAGGAGGAACACCAGUGGCGAAGGCGGUUCUCUGGGCCUUUCCUGACGCUGAGGAGCGAAAGCGUGGGGAGCGAACAGGCUUAGAUACCCUGGUAGUCCACGCUGUAAACGGUGGGUACUAGGUGUGGGGUCCACUCCACGGGUUCCGUGCCGUAGCUAACGCUUUAAGUACCCCGCCUGGGGAGUACGGCCGCAAGGCUAAAACUCAAAGGAAUUGACGGGGCCCCGCACAAGCGGCGGAGCAUGCGGAUUAAUUCGAUGCAACGCGUAGAACCUUACCUGGGUUUGACAUGGAUCGGGAGUGCUCAGAGAUGGGUGUGCCUCUUUUGGGGUCGGUUCACAGGUGGUGCAUGACUGUCGUCAGCUCGUGUCGUGAGAUGUUGGGUUAAGUCCCGCAACGAGCGCAACCCUUGUUCACUGUUGCCAGCACGUUAUGGUGGGGACUCAGUGGAGACCGCCGGGGUCAACUCGGAGGAAGGUGGGGAUGACGUCAAGUCAUCAUGCCCCUUAUGUCCAGGGCUUCACGCAUGCUACAAUGGCUGGUACAGAGAGUGGCGAGCCUGUGAGGGUGAGCGAAUCUCGGAAAGCCGGUCUCAGUUCGGAUUGGGGUCUGCAACUCGACCUCAUGAAGUCGGAGUCGCUAGUAAUCGCAGAUCAGCAACGCUGCGGUGAAUACGUUCCCGGGGCU